GUUUGAUCCUGGCUCAGAGCGAACGUUUGCGGCGGGGCCUAACACAUGCAAGUCGAACGGGCUAGCAAUAGUCAGUGGCGCACGGGUGCGUAACACGUGGGUAAUCAACCCUUCAGCUCGGGAUAACGCCUUGAAAGGGGCGCUAAUACCGGAUACGACGCGAGGAGCUUCGGCUGCUUGCGGGAAAGAUUCGCAAGGAUCUCUGAAGGACGAGCCUGCGGCCCAUCAGCUAGUUGGUGAGGUAAGAGCUCACCAAGGCGAAGACGGGUAGCUGGUCUGAGAGGAUGAUCAGCCACACUGGAACUGAGACACGGUCCAGACUCCUACGGGAGGCAGCAGUGGGGAAUAUUGCGCAAUGGGCGAAAGCCUGACGCAGCCACGCCGCGUGAGCGAUGAAGGCC
rnacentral:rRNA from 1 species